AUUCUGUGUUCCCUUACUUUUCUCUUGAAAUGGAAGAUUCAUUCUUGCAAUGACUUAUUUUGGCACAGUAACUUGCUCUCUGAGAGGGAUAUUCUGUGGGAUGUUUGCUGCCUUUUUAAUUUUACUGCUCCAAGUGCCUAGAUGAUGACAAUAAAUGAUUGGAGAUUUGUAUGUACUGGAUCUGAAAUUCUUACAGUUACCUAAAAGUUGAACAGAAAGAAGUAAAUUUGUACAAUUAAUAAUUUAAUGUAAAAAGAACUUAUGAUUGUGGGAGUAUUAUGCCCCAUGCACAGUACCUAGCUGAAUGUUUUGUGCAAUUUAUAGUUAUAAAUUAAAAUAAUUAAGGUUAUAGGCUCAGAGAAGGAAAGCAAUAGGCUCAAAGUUACACAGAAAGAUAGGACAAAGUUGAAACUACAACUCUGGUCCUCUAUCUUCAAGAUCAGUGUUCUUUCUACUUAGAAAGAGCAUGAUUGUCAUCUCAUAAAGCCAUGGCCAGUGAAAAAGCUGCAGAUUUGUUUAAAAAGUGAGAUGUGAGCCAGGCAUGGCAGUGUAUACCUGUAAUUCCAGCUAUUUGGUAGGUUGAGGCAAGCAGACUUAAAGUUUGAGGCCCCAUAUAGGACUCAUCUGUCAGUACAAUAAGCUACUCCCAACAUUACUCACCUCCACAUCUGGACCACCCCAUUUCUACUGAGUCUUCAAACUUGUACAUAU
rnacentral:lncRNA from 1 species